rnacentral:lncRNA from 1 species
CCACAGCAGGGCACUGUCCCCGUCCCUCGCAGGCGGUGCUGGCCGAUGACCCCGGGUCCCCGACGGAGGCUCUGAGGCUCCCCUGCCGCAGCCUCUCGCCUGCUGCAGCUGCGGCCACGCUGGGGGCUGUGCACGGAGCCCUGCGGCGCCGGCACUUCCAGCUGCAGGAGGCCCGGGAGGUGUCGGGGAGCCUGCGGCGGGAGCUGGGGGACAGCGAGAGCCGGCGGGCGGCCCUGGAGCAGCGGCUGGAGCAGCUCAGCGCCGAGGCUGGGGGCUGCCGGCGGGCGCAGGACGAGGCCGUGCGCGAGGCCGCCCGCCUGCGCACCGACAUCGAGCUCCUGCGCAGGUACCCCCUGCCUGUCCGUCUGUCCAUCCGUGGCCUCUGUCCCUGCACACCCUCCACCUGCCUGUCCCCACGGCGUGUCCGUCUGUCCGGCAGCGAGCGGGGCCGCGUGGAGCAGGCGCUGGCGGCGGAGCAGGCGCGGGCGGGGGUCCUGCAGCGCAGCGAGGCCGAGCUGCAGCGCCGCAGCCGGGGGCUGGAGGAGCAGCGGGACGAGGCCGCCCGUGCCGCCGAGGCUGCGCGCCAGCAGCUGGAGCACAGGUGGGGACCCCCCCGGUGCUGAAACACCCCCCCAUGGGGCUGCAGAAUAGUGCCUCACCCCUCCCGUGGGUGCUGCCCACCCCCCCAUGGGUGAUACCCCUGUGGGUCCUCCCCGUCCAACGGGUGCUGCCCCUCCCCAGUGGGUGCUCUCCCCCCAGUGGGUGCCCCCUCCCAAUUUGUGCCCCCCCGUGGGUGCCCGCAGCCAGCAGCAGCUGGAG